GGAGUUAGCCGGUGCUUCUUCUGUGAGUGAUGUCCUUCCUGCCGGCUAUUAACCCGCAGGCCUUCUUCCUCACUGAAAGUGCUUUACAACCCGAAGGCCUUCUUCACACACGCGGCAUGGCUGGAUCAGGGUUGCCCCCAUUGUCCAAUAUUCCCCACUGCUGCCUCCCGUAGGAGUCUGGGCCGUGUCUCAGUCCCAGUGUGGCUGAUCAUCCUCUCAGACCAGCUACGGAUCGUCGCCUUGGUGAGCCGUUACCUCACCAACCAGCUAAUCCGACAUAGGCUCAUCCGAUAGCGCGAGGCCCGAAGGUCCCCCGNUUUCCCCCGUAGGGCGUAUGCGGUAUUAGCCUGGGUUUCCCCAGGUUAUCCCCCACUACCGGGCAGAUUCCUAUGCAUUACUCACCCGUCCGCCGCUCGCCACCAGGGAGCAAGCUCCCCGUGCUGCCGCUCGACUUGCAUGUGUAGCNCGCCGCCACGCGUCAUCUGAGCGAGAUACAACUACUGA
rnacentral:rRNA from 1 species